rnacentral:rRNA from 1 species
CCCGGGGAACUGAAACAUCUAAGUACCCGGAGGAAAAGAAAUCAAACGAGAUGCCCACAGUAGCGGCGAGCGAAGAGGGCAGAGCCCAAACCUGUAAGCUACGGCUUAUGGGGGUUGAGGACUGACGUAAUUAAGGCCAGGCUUAGCUGAACUACCUGGGAAGGUAGGCGAUAGAAGGUAAGAGCCCUGUAAGCGAAAGGCAGAGCCUUAAGGUCAGUAUCCAGAGUACCACGGAGCACGAGGAAUUCUGUGGGAAGCAGGGGGGACCACCCUCCAAGGCUAAAGACUAACUGGCGACCGAUAGCGCAUAGUACCGUGAGGGAAAGGUGAAAAGAACCCCGGGAGGGGAGUGAAAUAGUACCUGAAACCGUAUGUCUACAAGCAGUCGGAGCGAAAGCGACGGCGUGCCUAUUGAAGAAUGAACCAACGAGUUAUCUGCACUAGCGAGGUUAAGUGGAAGACACGGAGCCGUAGCGAAAGCGAGUCUGAAAAGGGCGGCGAGUUAGUGUAGGUAGACCCGAAACCGCAGUGAUCUACCCAUGUCCAGGUUGAAGCGCAGGUAAAAAUGCGUGGAGGACCGAACCGGUGAGCGUUGAAAAGCUUUCGGAUGAGAUGUGGGUAGGGGUGAAAUUCCAAUCGAACGCGGAGAUAGCUGGUUCUCCCCGAAAUAGCUUUAGGGCUAGCCUCAGGUAGUAAGUAUAGGCGGUAGAGCACUGAUCGGGCUAGGGGCCAUAAAGGUUACCGAACCCUGUCAAACUCCGAAUGGAUAUACUGCAGAGCCUGGGAGUCAGACUACGAGUGAUAAGAUCCGUGGUCAAAAGGGAAACAGCCCAGACCACCGGCUAAGGUCCCAAAUGCCGUACUAAGUGGAAAAGGAUGUGGGGAUUCAUAAACAACCAGGAUGUUGGCUCAGAAGCAGCCACCAUUUAAAGAGUGCGUAAUAGCUCACUGGUCGAGAGUCCCUGCGCCGAAAAUUUCCGGGGCUAAAGUACGGAACCGAAGCCGUGGCUGUGCAUGUAAGUGCACGGGGUAGGGGAGCGUUGCCACAGGGGUGAAGCUGGUCUGGAAGGACUGGUGGACUUGUGGGAAGUGAGAAUGUUGGUAUGAGUAGCGAAAAGAAAGGUGAGAAUCCUUUCCACCGAAAGCAUAAGGAUUCCUGAGCAACGAUCGUCGUCUCAGGGUAAGUCGGGACCUAAUCCGAGGCAAAGAGCGUAGGAGAUGGACAACAGGUUGAUAUUCCUGUACCGGCAGCAAUUGUUUGAGCGAAGGAGUGACACAGAAGGGCAGGCAGGCGCGAGACUGGAUUGUCGCGUGCAAGCGUGUAGGGUAGUGUACAGGCAAAUCCGUACACUGAAAGCCUGAGGCGUUACGCGGAGCGAGCAGAGAUGCGAGCGAAGCUGCUGAUCCCACACUGUCGAGAAAAGCUUCUAGUGAGAGAGCUGCCGCCCGUACCGUAAACCGACACAGGUAUGCGGGGAGAGAAUCCUAAGGUGCGCGGGAGAACCCUCGUUAAGGAACUCGGCAAAAUGUACCCGUAACUUCGGGAUAAGGGUAGCCGUCUUGGUGAAGGAGCUUGCCUCUGGAGCUGAAGGCGGUCGCAGAGAAGAGGCCCAAGCGACUGUUUACCACAAACACAGGUGCCUGCUAAAGCGAAAGCUGACGUAUAGGUGCUGACACCUGCCCAGUGCUGGAAGGUUAAGGAAGGAUGUCCGGGCAACCAAAGCAUUCGACCGAAGCCCCAGUGAACGGCGGCCGUAACUAUAACGGUCCUAAGGUAGCGAAAUUCCUUGUCGGGUAAGUUCCGACCCGCACGAAAGGUGUAACGAUUUGGGCACUGUCUCAACGAGGGACCCGGUGAAAUUGAAAUACCUGUGAAGAUGCAGGUUACCCGCGACUGGACAGAAAGACCCCAUGGAGCUUUACUGUAACCUGACAUUGGGUUUUGUUGUAUUACGUACAGGAUAGGUGGGAGGCUUGGAAGGCUGGACGCUAGUCUGGCUGGAGCCGGCGUUGGGAUACCACCCUUGAUACAACGGAAUUCUAACCGAGAGAGUAACGAAAUCCGGGACAGUGUCAGGCGGGCAGUUUGACUGGGGCGGUCGCCUCCGAAAGAGUAACGGAGGCGCCCAAAGGUUCCCUCAGCGCGGCCGGAAAUCGCGCGAAGAGUGUAAAGGCAGAAGGGAGCUUGACUGCGAGCCAAACACGGCGAGCAGGUACGAAAGUAGGGCUUAGUGAUCCGGUGGUA